rnacentral:lncRNA from 1 species
GAGAUUUUACUGGUGGUGGAGGAGAGUGGUAGUAGUAUGGUGUAGGAGUGUGCGUUGGAGGGGGUGGUGAUUUGUAAACAUACGUUGGAGUGGGAGGAGGCGGUGACUUGUAGACAUAGGUCGGAGUAGGAGGAGGUGGUGAUUUGUAAAUAUAGGUUGGAGUUGGUGGUGGUGGAGAUUUGUAAACAUAUGUUGGGGUUGGAGGUGGUGGUGACUUGUAUACAUAAGUAGGAGUUGGUGGAGGUGGUGACUUGUAGACAUAAGUAGGGGUUGGUGGUGGUGGAGAUUUAUAGACAUAAGUCGGGGUUGGUGGCGGUGGUGAUUUGUAAACAUAGGUCGGGGUUGGCGGUGGUGGUGACUUGUAAACAUAUGUCGGAGUUGGCGGUGGUGGUGAUUUGUAGACGUAAGUCGGAGUUGGUGGAGGUGGUGAUUUGUAGACAUAAGUUGGAGUUGGUGGUGGUGGAGACUUGUAGACAUAGGUUGGAGCCGGUGGUGGUGGUGACUUGUAGUAGUAAACCGGAGACGGUGGUGGUGGAGAUUUGUAAUAGUAUGGAG